AUACCGUCCGUCUGACGGACGCUAGAUACGAGGUAUAAAUAAAAGAAAAAAAAACUGCAGUCGACCAAACUAUCAACCCUAACCCACGCCUCUCUCUUCCUCACUCUCAUCUCACGUUUCUCUCUUCCUCACUCUCAUCUCUCAUUUUGGUGCUCUCUCUUUCUUGCAAAUCUCACGAAAUCAGAUCUGGUUUUCGGGUGUUCGUACUGUGAAGUCUGGUGUUUACAGUUUCGGGGUGGUGGUUUUGGAGGUGGUCUCCGGAAGAAGGCCAGUGGUCGAUAAACAGCUUGCUUGGAAUUGCAAACGACAAGUCUCAGACACGCAAGCUUUAGGGCAAACAGAGUGUGUAGAGAAAUACCACAAGAUAGAAACAAGAGACAAAAUUUACAAGCUAAUCAAGAAAGUCACUGAGUAUGGAGAUUUUCUGAGGUUGGCUGGGGCUAAUCUUUGAUGCUGGGUCAUUUUCUUAUCCAGUUCAACAGCUUGAGUGAAACAACAUCUUUUCAGUCUUUGAAUUUGAGCUCAGAUGAAGGUGUUUGAGGUCGAUGCUCACACAAUCACUCUUUCCCUCUUCAUCGACGUCACUAAUUCAAAGUAUGUUUCUUUUUCUCUCUCUAUCUAUCUAUCUAUAUAUAAUAUGAUAACUUAGAGUUGGGAAUCAUAAA